rnacentral:rRNA from 1 species
CCUACGGGAGGCAGCAGUGGGGGAUAUUGCACAAUGGGGGAAACCCUGAUGCAGCGACGCCGCGUGGGUGAAGAAGCGCCUCGGCGCGUAAAGCCCUGUCAGUAGGGAAGAAAAUGACGGUACUUGUAGAAGAAGCCCCGGCUAACUACGUGCCAGCAGCCGCGGUAAUACGUCGGGGGCAGGCGUUAUCCGGAUUUACUGGGCGUAAAGGGGGCGCAGACGGCGAGGCAAGCCAGGAGUGAAAGCCCGGGGCCCAACCCCGGGAGUGCUCUUGGGACUGCGUGGCUAGAGUGCAGGAGGGGCAGGCGGAAUUCCUGGUGUAGCGGUGAAAUGCGUAGAUAUCAGGAGGAACACCGGUGGCGAAGGCGGCCUGCUGGACUGCAACUGACGUUGAGGCCCGAAAGCGUGGGGAGCAAACAGGAUUAGAUACCCGAGUAGUC